CGGGCCCUUGUGAUUCAUAAUAACUUACGAAUCGCAUGGCCUUGUGCGCGGCGAUGGUUCAUUCAAAUUUCUUGCCCUAUCAAACUUUCGAUGGUAGAGUAGUGGUCUACCAUUGGUUUCAACGGGUAACGGGAAUUAGGGUUCUAUUCCGGAGAGGGAGCCUGAGAAACGGUACCACAUCCAAGGAAGGCAGCAGGCGCGCAAAUUACCCAAUCCCGACACGGGGAGGUAGUGACAAUAAAUACUGAUACAGGGCUCUUUGGGUCUUGUAAUUGGAAUGAGUACAAUUUAAAUCCCUUAACGAGGAACAAUUGGAGGGCAAGUCUGGUGCCAGCAGGCCGGGGUAAUUCCAGCUCCAAUAGCGUAUAUUAAAGUUGUUGCAGUUUAAAAAGCUCGUAGU
rnacentral:rRNA from 1 species